CAUACAAGUUUGUUAUGAAGGCACAUGAAAGUUCACAUGCUCGAGAAGGCAUUUCUGCCCCAAAACAAAUUUGAUUAAAAAAAGUUUUUACGUUCAAAUGGCUCUCUGGUGAAGUCAUGACUUGCGACAUACGCCUAGUUUCCUGAAUCGGGUCACAUAUUGUUUCAGUGUAUCUCAACAGUAUUUCAGUCUGUGAUUCCAAUUGCCUCAUUCCAUCCCUCUCCUCUCCCCUGCCACUCUUUUCCAGGUCAUUGCUGUGAAAGUGUUCUCAGUCAACUUAUCUUGUGAAGUAAGGGUUAAAUAAAUACAUACAUUUUGGAGACAGAGCCGUCUAGGAGCAGACAGCUGUGAAACGCGUCAGUCUCUCUGUGUGGGUCAUUCUUACUGAGAGGCCCUUAACCCAAUCAGUGUGCAGGGGUCAACUUUGCCUUGCAAAAUACUGAGUAGGGUUGUGACAGACAAGCUUGGCAAUAACAUUUAACAGCCAUUUCUGCUCAUGAAAGUUCUGUUCUCAUUUCACAACCGCAGUAAAACUUUAAACCUGUGACUGACAACGUAGGCCUUCACUCAUUUAUUGUGAACAGACUUGUUGGUUGAGGUCAAAGGGGAACUGGGGAGACGUCGUCUUCAUAUUAGGGGGGCCUCAUUUUUUGAAAUACAUCUAGUCUCUCAAAAGAAGACCAGAAGGAUAGGGUAUUACUUCCCAUUAAUUGGCAGGUGGGUGGAGAGGGACACUCAUUCAACGUUAGCUUGUAAUAUAGGCAGGAAGUCCAUUCUUAAGAAACCACAGCACAGGGAGACAAUAUACCUUACCAGGCCCUUUUAAAGACAGCAGCUUGUGUCUAAAGAUUAUGUUCUCCCUCUCCUGUGCAGCUGUCUCUCCUUUGUUUAGGUAGAUUACUUUCAGCGGCGGGAGCUUCAGGCUGAAGAAUGCGGGAUGUUCUCUCCCCUCGGGUCCUGAUGGACUAUGCAGGUUUGGGAAUCAGGAGAGAAAUUGGUGGCUGAAAGAGAGGGACACUGCGACUGGAGAAAAAUAUCAGGACACUCGAUAGGAGAUGUAAUGGAACUGUCUUUUCUUCCUUUUCAGUCUCAGUACAAAGGCCCUGGUAUGAGAAGGGAUAGGAGAUGGGAGAUGUGAGGUGGGCGGCCAGUGUGGAUUGCCGUCUCCCUUUACCGGAGGAAGUGGAUCUGCGUGUCCGAUCCCAACGUGCAUAAAGCUGUCAAACACCAAUUGAUGGUGAUGAACAACCUCUGGUGAUCAGGGAGAGUGAUGACUGGUUUAAAGAUAUAUGGGAUGAAUGAUGAUUGAGCAGUCCAGGUGUGAUAUCCUUCAUUCAAAGACAAUGAUAUAGACUCAAACUGCCAUUACGCACAGCUAAAUGUUCACUCUUUCAAAUGCCAUUUGCUAUUUGCCUUAGAAAUAAAUAUGUAAGGCACAGUACAGAAAUAGGUUCUGGCAAAAACAUUAUAAAUCUAUAGAUACAUCAUUUACAUGGUUUAUUAAUUGGAUGUUGACAUGUUUGUGGCAUCAGAAUGAGUCAUAGGGGAGUUAAAAAUGAUUAAACCCUGCCUAAAUGUCAAAUCCCUCCAGCUCUGAAUGUAACGUACUGUUGUAAUAAUGUUUAUUUAUGAAGCCCGGCCAUGAUCAAGGCUCAGUUCGGGUUGUUUAUUUCACUUUCAGAAUCUUUUUGUCUCUGUAAUGGCUCAUUACGGCCAUAUGUUGUUCCUAAACCCGAAGUUCUAGAGCAUUCUUCCUUAUUUUGUUUUGCGCACAUUGCACCCAUUAUCUGUUUCCACUAAUUCCUGUCGAGAGCAAUGCCCUUUUGCCUUGCUCAUGCUCUCAAGACAAAGGUGAGUGAGUGUGGGUGGAGGGGGUUGUUGAAUGAAGGCCUUUACUCGUCCCCCUCCUGAGGGUGAAGGUGGACCCCUGGGGGCAGGAGUCCCACUACCCCUUUUAAGUGCUACUCGAGCUUCCUGCUCCGGCCGGCCUUUGUUCUGCUGUUGUGAGAACAGGGGCUGCACACAGAGCCUGGGCGCUCAAAGCAUGUGUUCUUCUAAUUUGCCUUGAUAACUGCCAGAUGAUGAGGCCAGGGCCAAGCAGUACACAGGGGGCCCUUAUUGGCUCUUCUACAGCUGCUGUGCUGGUGGUUGUGGUGGAGGGGACAGGAAGGGGUCCGUCUGCUAGAGUGGGACAGGGAGAAACCGGGGCUUCUAGAGAGCAGUUCCUGGCAAGACAACUCCACUUCCUGUGUCAUGGGAGCUAUCUGAGUCACCUACUCCUCUACAUCUCAGUCCUCCAUCGGCCUUAAUCAUGGGGUGCCCGCAACCAUGCACACGCCAUAUUCCUCACACAGCCCACCCGCCCUUCUCCCGACCGGCGACAUUACAGCUACCAGUCGG
rnacentral:lncRNA from 1 species